rnacentral:rRNA from 1 species
AAUGGGCGCAAGCCUGAUGCAGCCAUGCCGCGUGUGUGAUGAAGGCCUUAGGGUUGUAAAACACUUUCAUCGGUGAAGAUAAUGACGGUAGCCGAAGAAGAAGCCCCGGCUAACUCCGUGCCAGCAGCCGCGGUAAUACGGAGGGGGCAAGCGUUGUUCGGAAUUACUGGGCGUAAAGCGCACGUAGGCGGACUGGUCAGUUGGGGGUGAAAUCCCGAGGCUUAACCUCGGAACUGCCUUCAAUACUGCCAGUCUUGAGAUCGGAAGAGGUGAGUGGAAUUCCUAGUGUAGAGGUGAAAUUCGUAGAUAUUAGGAAGAACACCGGUGGCGAAGGCGGCUCACUGGUCCGAUACUGACGCUGAGGUGCGAAAGCGUGGGGAGCGAACAGGAUU